ensembl:lncRNA
AGUCACCCUGGAAGAGAUGCAGAGAUUAAUAACUACUGAUUAAAUGCCGAGUGGUGUGUAAGCACAUAGAGAAUGAAAAAAGGUGAGUCGGGAUUAAAGACUCGGUGCAUCAUGGGAAGCCCCCCCAGCAGUCUAGGUGUAUUGAAUCAUAACUAAGGGAGGCUUCAGGGUCAUGUGAUCCUAUAUGCUUUAUCAAAAAAGGCAAUUUUUAGGCCUAAUGUUAAAAGUAGAGAAGGCGUCCAAACAUAAGCAGGCAAAUAAAAAAGAGGGAAACCACUGCAGUUUUGAAUCUUACCAACAAGAAAUAACUUUUCAAUCACAUCACAGGAGUUUCGCAUCAUAUUGGCACAAUUUAAGCUGGUCAUUUCAAGUCAUUUUGUCCGUGCUGCGAAGAGAUUACGAAUAGAGAUUUUCGAAUAGCCUCGUAUUUUCUGAAUGUAGCUGACGUUUGUGUGAAAAUAUUUACAUGCAUUCAAAUGUAGCAGCUGGCACUGAGUUACAGCAGAGCACGUCAGACGAGAAAGUGGGUACUUUUUAGUCCUGCACCACAGGAAACCAUACAUGCGUCAGACUGUUUUUAGUACAGCCGAAAUGAAAUGCACAGUUUCACAAUAUUUUGAAAAUUUUGCCUGAUUCUAAGCACGUGUUGCUGCAGCUUACUGUAAGUAAAAAGAGUAGCAGUAGUACUACGUUUUGUUUUGGGGUUUUUUUUUUUCGUUUUGAGGUCUUAUUACUAUGAAAUCUAAUAUAUAUAAAAAUAUCAGUGUCACAGAUUUUAAUGACUUUAUGUGCAGGUUACUAGUGAAACGUCACGUUUAGGUACGACUAUCGAUGUUUGUAUUUCUUGUACGUUUUAUGCGAUCGUGUCACUUUGGUGGAACAUUGUGCAGCAAAGCAGCCGAUCAGGAUAGACACAAAACAGCGCGCACACGCAGAGACGCGUCUGCUGUGUAUUUAUUGUGUCAAAAAUCGCUUUGUGUUAAACAAUAUAUACUCAGAUACACCGUGUAAUUGUUGGUUUCUGAUGGACAAACUGUCCUCUUUCAGCUUGUUGUGUGAAUUCAAAUCUUAAAUGUUCCAGCAAAGGGAUCCAGGUGAUUUUUUUUCUUCCUUCAAAUGGCUGUACAAUUAUUAUCUUUGUCUAUUGGACAAUACUUUUUACUGUUUUUAAAUGUUAAAUAAUUUACAUAGUUUUACAAUAAUGAAUGUCCUACAGAGACUAGUUUUGUGGUGUUUUUAAAUAUAUUUUUUAAAUACAUGAUGUAAAGUUAAUUAUGAGUUAUUGUAAUGGAAACGAAUGCGCGCUCUGCCGGUGCGUUCAGUGACCUUUCUAAGGUGGUAAUCUUUUGUUUCGUGGCUGAUUCACUGACACGGCUGGACUUCACGUAAGAGAGCAAAGAAGACGACGCUCCUAUUUACAGGUUUAAAUUCAGUGAGAAUUUUGAAAUUUGUGAGCAGAAAACAGUGAAUUUCUUUUAUCUCUGCCAAGUUGUUUAGUUGGUUGUCUGCAGUGGAGGCAAAUGAAGCUUAUUUUUAAUUAACUUUAAUUGACUAUUAGACUUUUUACUUUGACUUUUAACUAGUUAGGUGUGCAUGAUUUUGGAUGAUGACAUUGUUUUUGUAAUUAUGCCUCUGUACGCGACCACGUCUGUAGACUUCAGCCAGCCAUUGAUUGCAAAGGGUUUUCAUCCAAGUAUUAAAAACAAACUUUCUAUUUAAAAUGUUGCUGUCCAAAUCCUUUUAAUAUUUAUAAACACAACUGUUGAAAACCCUGUUGAAUCAAAGCCUAAAAUCUGCGUUUUAAUCACAUCUAGACCGUUUUCACAGCACCACAGUGGAUUUUACAUCAGAGGUGAAAUUACAAAAAGUGUCAAUUAUCCAAAUGUUUAUGGGCUUAACUGUAUAUUUCAGAUCACAGCAACAGUCUUGCAUGUUAUCAAAGUCCGGUUUUAGAUCGAUUUGCUUUGAUAUUUUGUCAAAUUAAUGAGCAGGUUCCAAAGAUGGUGGAGUGCAGUCGAGGUUCAGAGGUCUGUUUUUGUGCAGCACUCACAAUGAAAGGGAAACGUUUACUCAAUGCUGAAACUUUGUGUUGUUUUUUUUUUUAAAAUAGAAAUGAAUCAUCAUAAUAAUUGCUGACAUAUUAAGCUGCUAUUGCAUAUUCAUUGGCCAACACUGGCGUUGUUCACUUUUGUUGGCAUAUCAGUAAAUAAUACGUCACUGGCCGACAUUAACGUUAGAAUUUUUGUGCAGUUCAAACUUUUAAAGUUAGUGUGUGAAGAGCCAUGAUGAAGAUCUUUGUUCUUUUCACACAGGAGGGACAAAUAUGUAACUAAAACUCAGAAACAGGUGAUAUUUAUAAGGGCAAUGAUUUGUUGUUUGUAAUGUUUUCCAAACUCAAUAUCUUAAUCCAUUAUUAUUAUUAUUAUUAUUAAGAUAGAAAAAGGUAUAGGUAAGCCUUCAUCUUAGAGCCACUACAGGCAAACAGAGAUAAAAUGUUGGGUGAAAAUUUGCCUCAUAAAGUGGCCAACCCCACAGUCUGAGUAUCACUAUACUUAAAGUUUGAUUGCCAAUAUGAGCACAGAAUAUCAGGUAAUGAUUGCAUUCAACUUUUUCCUAUCAUCUCCAUCCUUCAUCCAUCAAAAUGUGUUGUUUUGCCAGCAGUUUACUUAAAGCAGUGUGUGACUCCAGAGUCUUUUUUCACUCCGCUGUAAGCUCCUGAUACACACCUCAUAAUAAGCAGCGUCAGAACAGCUCGACUUGCUGCAGUACUUGUUGUGGUUUCACCACAAAAAAGCAAAAUAAAAAAAAAAAUUAAAAACAAUGUUCUGGUUAUUCUGCUGUGAUGUUGGAAAUAGAAGAUAUUUUAGGCUACAAAUUUACUGCUAUAGAGAUUGUAUUGGAUCAUAGAAGACUGUUCUUGUAUCUUGAGUGCAAUAAAAAAAAAAAGUGCAAUAACAACUGAUUUUCUUAACAUUUCUUUUAAGAAGCAGUGAUUUGCAAAAUGAUGAAGGUGCCACUUUACGUGGUCAGUCCCACUGGACGUCUAGAAGGGAAAAGGUUUAGUGUGGUGACCAGCGUCUAAUGGAGGAAACCAGAAAGGAAACUGGGCAACGGCCAAACUUUUUGGCCACUUAUUUAACUGAGAACUAAACUGAAGGUGAAUUCUGGAGAAAUGUUUAAGCUGAAAUAAACACUAAUGUCCUUUUCAAC